rnacentral:hammerhead_ribozyme from 1 species
ACGAGUCCUAAAUAGGACGAAACGCGCGUC